rnacentral:rRNA from 1 species
GGAGGGUGCAAGCGUUAAUCGGAAUUACUGGGCGUAAAGCGCGCGUAGGCGGCGUGUCACGCCGGGUGUGAGAGCCCCGGGCUCAACCUGGGAACGGCAUCCGGAACGGGCAGGCUAGAGUGCAGGAGAGGAAGGUAGAAUUCCCGGUGUAGCGGUGAAAUGCGUAGAGAUCGGGAGGAAUACCAGUGGCGAAGGCGGCCUUCUGGACUGACACUGACGCUGAGGUGCGAAAGCGUGGGUAGCAAACAGGAUUAGAUACCCUGGUAGUCCACGCCGUAAACGAUGUCGACUAGCCGUUGGGUCCCUUGAGGACUUAGUGGCGCAGUUAACGCGAUAAGUCGACCGCCUGGGGAGUACGGCCGCAAGGUUA